rnacentral:tRNA from 1 species
UCUCCUGCAGCUCAGUAGUAGGGCGUCCGACCAGUGUGCGGAAGGUCAUAGGUUCGACUCCUGCUGGGGGAA